rnacentral:rRNA from 1 species
AUUGAACGCUGGCGGCAUGCCUUACACAUGCAAGUCGAACGGUAACGGGCCUUCGGGUGCCGACGAGUGGCGAACGGGUGAGUAAUACAUCGGAACGUGCCCGAUCGUGGGGGAUAACGAGGCGAAAGCUUUGCUAAUACCGCAUACGAUCUACGGAUGAAAGCAGGGGACCGCAAGGCCUUGCGCGGACGGAGCGGCCGAUGGCAGAUUAGGUAGUUGGUGGGAUAAAAGCUUACCAAGCCGACGAUCUGUAGCUGGUCUGAGAGGAUGAUCAGCCACACUGGAACUGAGACACGGCCCAGACUCCUACGGGAGGCAGCAGUGGGGAAUUUUGGACAAUGGGCGCAAGCCUGAUCCAGCCAUGCCGCGUGCAGGAUGAAGGCCUUCGGGUUGUAAACUGCUUUUGUACGGAACGAAAAGCCUUCUUUUAAUACAGGAGGGUCAUGACGGUACCGAAAGAAUAAGCACCGGCUAACUACGUG